GAGAACGAGCAUGCUUCCUGGAGCUCAGACAGCAGGAAAGCUUGAAAACCUGUGGUUUGAGGUUUGUGCUUCACGGAGAAGACGAGAGACAAGAUACUCCGUUUCCUGAGGAAUCCACGCCCUUUUGAGCUUGGGGCCCAUAGAGCUGUCAGCCUCUGAUUGACACCUUACGGGCUGGGAUCCUGCUCUCCAGCCUGGCUGGCCUAUCCCACGCUCUGUGAGAGAACCUGAGGGGCCAGGGAAUGGGGUCCUUUCCCAGUUUGUAUGGCUGGAUGGCUCUGGUCACCCUGAGCGGAGAUGCCACAGCCAGCCUGGUGGAGCAGAGGCCCAGGUGGGCCCUGGUACAGGCUGGUCGGACAGAGACUCUCCACUGCAUCCUGAGGGAUUCUCAGUACCCCUGGAUGAGCUGGUACCAACAAGAUCUCCAGCGGCAACUUCAGUUUCUGGUCACCCUGCGAAGUCCUGGAGAAAAGAAGACCAUCUCCCUUCCUGGGGUGGAUUACCUGGCCACUCGGGUCAGUGACACAGACCUAAGGAUUCAAGUGGCCAAUGUGACCCAGGGCAGAACCCUCUUUUGCACCUGCAGUAAAGACACAGUGAGAAACCCUGCUAGGGCAUUUUAAUAAAAAC